CAGCCGCCGCGGGAAUACAGAGGAUGCAAGCGUUAUCCGGAAUGAUUGGGCGUAAAGCGUCUGUAGGUGGUGGUUUAAGUCCGUUGUGAAAGCCCUGGGCUCAACCUGGGAAUUGCAGUGGAUACUGGAUCACUAGAGUGUGGUAGAGGAUAGUGGAAUUUCCGGUGUAGCAGUGAAAUGCGUAGAGAUCGGAAGGAACAUCUGUGGCGAAGGCGACUAUCUGGGCCAACACUGACACUGAGGCACGAAAGCGUGGGGAGCAAACAGGAUUAGAUACCCCCGUAGUCCCUGUCUCUUAUAC
rnacentral:rRNA from 1 species